UACGUAGGGGGCUAGCGUUGUCCGGAAUCAUUGGGCGUAAAGCGCGCGUAGGCGGCCCGGUAAGUCCGCUGUAAAAGUCCAGGGCUCAACCCUGGAAAGCCGGUGGAUACUGUCGGGCUCGAGUCCGGAAGAGGAGAGUGGAAUUCCUGGUGUAGCGGUGAAAUGCGCAGAUAUCAGGAAGAACACCAAUGGCGAAGGCAGCUCUCUGGGACGGUACUGACACUGAGACGCGAAAGCGUGGGGAGCGAACAAGG
rnacentral:rRNA from 1 species